rnacentral:rRNA from 1 species
GCUUGUCUCAAAGAUUAAGCCAUGCAUGUCUAAGUAUAACUCUUUUACUUUGAAAACUGCGAACGGCUCAUUAUAUCAGUUAUAGUUUCUUUGAUAGUCCCUUACUACUUGGAUACCCGUAGUAAUUCUAGAGCUAAUACAUGCUGGUGUGCCUGACUUUUCGGAAGGGCGGUAUUUAUUAGAUAACGAACCAAUAUUCCUCUGGUCUAUUGUGGUGAAUCAUAAUAACUGAUCGAAUCGCAAAGCCUUUGGCUGCGAUAUGUCAUUCAAGUUUCUGCCCCAUCAGCUUUCGAUGGUAGUGUAUUGGACUACCAUGGCUUUUACGGGUAACGGAGAAUUAGGGUUCGAUUCCGGAGAGGGAGCCUGAGAAACGGCUACCACAUCUAAGGAAGGCAGCAGG